CCUACGGGAGGCAGCAGUGGGGAAUAUUGCACAAUGGGCGAAAGCCUGAUGCAGCGACGCCGCGUGAGUGAAGAAGUAUUUCGGUAUGUAAAGCUCUAUCAGCAGGGAAGAAAAUGACGGUACCUGACUAAGAAGCCCCGGCUAACUACGUGCCAGCAGCCGCGGUAAU
rnacentral:rRNA from 1 species